AAGGUUUGGUCCUAGCCCUUCUAUUAGCCAUCAGUAGGAUUACACAUGCAAGUAUCAGCACCCCGGUGAAAACGCCCUUUUAAUCAUCAGUGAUAAAAAGGAGCGGGUAUCAAGCACACUGUACAAGUAGCUAAAGACACCUCGCCUAGCCACACCCCCACGGGAUACAGCAGUGACAAAAAUUAAGCCAUGAACGAAAGUUUGACUAAGCCAUACUGACCCAUAGGGUUGGUAAAUUUCGUGCCAGCCACCGCGGUCAUACGAUUAACCCAAGUUAAUAGAUAUACGGCGUAAAACGUGUUAAGGAAGCCACUCACCCAAUAAAGUUAAAUCUUAGACUAUGCUGUAGAAAGCUUUAGCCCAGAUAAAAAUAAACCACGAAGGUGACUUUAAACAAUCCGAUCACACGAUAGCUAAGACACAAACUGGGAUUAGAUACCCCACUAUGCUUAGCCCUAAACCUAAGUAGCCUAAACAACGACGCUACUCGCCAGAGUACUACUAGCAACAGCUUAAAACUCAAAGGACUUGGCGGUGCUUUACAUCCCUCUAGAGGAGCCUGUUCUGUAAUCGAUAAACCCCGAUAAACCUCACCAACUCUUGCUAAUACAGCCUAUAUACCGCCAUCUUCAGCAAACCCUAAAAAGGAAACAAAGUAAGCAAAACCAUGAAACAUAAAAACGUUAGGUCAAGGUGUAGCCUAUGAGUUGGAAAGAAAUGGGCUACAUUUUCUAGUAUAGAAUAUCAACGAAAAUUUUCGUGAAACCGAAAAUAGAAGGAGGAUUUAGUAGUAAAUUAAGAAUAGAGAGCUUAAUUGAAUAAGGCCAUGAAGCACGCACACACCGCCCGUCACCCUCCUCGAGUAUAAAGAUACAAAUACUUACCCCUAUUAAUAAAUGUACACGCAUAUGAGAGGAGAUAAGUCGUAACAAGGUAAGCGUACUGGAAAGUGCGCUUG
rnacentral:ncRNA from 1 species